UGUUUGCCUUCAGUGGUAACAAACCUAGCCACUACCCAAGCUAUGCUUUGUUCCAUGACUCUUUGCUGACAUUAUGUUUGAUUUUUCUCAGGCUGAAACUUGAACCUUGUUUAUCUUCGUUGAGCUUUGUCUUUGGCUCCAGUGAUUUCCUGGAUGCUCAAGUUUACCUACGUUUUGUGGAUUACGUUCUGGAUUUUGUGUUUUGGAUUAAGCUGGCAGCUUCCUGGAAAUUCCCGACUCCUGAACCAAGGCAGAGGCGUACCCUGACCACCCUCCAACGCAAGUACCUGAACAUUGAACUCUCAUGAACUCACCAGUAUUCACUCCCCAGCUCGUACUGAAGCAUCUGGACAACAUAGCUUCGCACACCCAGGUUCUGACUCCCUCUACCCCUGGUGACCUGACAGCAUUUACUUAUUGCCGAAUUUAUCCAUUCAUGUCCAUGUGUUCACGUACUGUAAAUAAACACCGUUACACUUUCA